UACAAUAGCAGUCCAACAAAGAUAUAAAGACCAAUACAGUCAUAACCCAUAAACCUAGCUAAAAUAGAUUACAAAUCAGCCCUAAGCUAGGAGGCCCAAAACAAAAAUAAGGGUCUAGAAGAAAACCCAGAUCAAGCAAUGGACAUAGGUUCUCAAACCAAGCAACCCUAGCUUUUUGACCCGACCCACAGCUACAAGAUCCGGAUUGUGUCAAGUGCAUGGCCGUUUCUCCCAACAAACAAGUUCUCCGGCGACAUCCUAGGGAAGAUCAAGAGAGCAGAUGGAGCACGAAGGAAGACCCAUUAAGGCCAUAGCUGUUCAUCAACGAAUCUCCUUGAAAAUUACAACCUCAGAAUGUCUUGCACUCCACAUGGAUCGAACGAAGAUGAAAGAACCAGAGCCAAGACACAAGCACUACAGGUUGCUCAGGGAGGGUGAUAAGGCAGAGCUUGAAUGGCAAAGAAGCCCAUGUAGUCAGCCAUAGAAGGCAACGCUGGCUUAGGACUCCCAAGGUACUUGCAUCCCCUAAAAUCUCAACCCUCCCAAAGCUAGAAAGGUAGAAAACUAAUGGAAAAAGCAUUAAAACCUGCAUGCAAAACCCACAGCCAGACAACGAAGCUUCAACCAUGAUAGAUCUACAAAGACUCUCUCAAAUCAGCACCAUCGGCCUUCAAAAACAGCCAACCAUUAUUUAUACGCACACUCCACACAGAAAGGGGAGAGCAGACCCACAAUCGAGAUAGAGGAAAGGACGUCCGGGUAGGGAAAACUACGAAAUCGGCCAAGAGCCUCGGGUGAAGAAAAGAACAAUGCGAGAAGGCCGAGCAAGACCCACAAAGUUGCUUUCAAUAACCAAUUUUCACAAAAAA
rnacentral:misc_RNA from 1 species